rnacentral:rRNA from 1 species
UACAGAGGUCCCAAGCGUUGUUCGGAUUCGCUGGGCGUAAAGGGUGCGUAGGUGGCUUGGUAAGUUCGAUGUGAAAUCUCCGGGCUUAACCCGGAAAUGGCAUUGAAUACUAUUGAGCUGGAGGUUUGGAGGGGGGACUGGAAUUCUCGGUGUAGCAGUGAAAUGCGUAGAUAUCGAGAGGAACACCAGUGGCGAAGGCGAGUCCCUGGACAACACCCGACACUGAGGCACGAAAGCUAGGGGAGCAAACAGG